GCGUAGAGGCAUGGUAGGAGACCCGAAUCCUGAAGCAGUGGACCGUGAAUGCGAUACCAGGUUCGCAGUGCUUCGACAGGGGGGUUGGCGCCGUCAAACAACCGUUCGUCGACCAUCCCUCCACGAACCCAUCCUCCGCAGGUUAUGCAAGUGUGACCGCGGUAGAUUUUGGCGGGAAACAGUAGUGUUACUAACCUUUGUCAAGAUACAUGGAAAAAUUCCCACAAAGUCCCGACAAACAGGUCACGAGAGUCAUAAUAUUUGGCUGUAACGCGAAACGAUUACGCGUAAACACGUGCAAGCAAGAUGGGCGGUAUCGUCGCUUCGAAGAAUGGAACACGUGUCACGUAUUGUGGAGAAAAAGCCGAGUCGUUCGCCACAAAGGAAGAUUACGAGUUCCCUGCCGCUUUAAAAGUACACCUGACAGAGGAUCGAGGUGUAUCUAUCCAUACACGUUGAGAUUAGAGUGCGUCAAGUAGUAUGUCAGUCCCAUUCGAAGACACAAACCCGUCCGUUGAACCGGUAGAGCAAGGCCUAUGGACGUUAUGUCGUCAUCGGAGUAUGGUCUAGAAGAGAUAGAAAAUAUUUUUCUUAUCUAUCAACGAGAUAGUAUACUUCCAUUAUUAUAUCAGUUAUGAAAUAUUAACCUGAAAACAAAUGCUAUGAAAAUGAGAAAUAUGAUUAAAUUCAUCGACGAACAAACGACGCCUGGCGAAAACGUUUUCUCGACCAUAUAUCGCGAUCGUUUCCACGCCAUAGAUCACCACUCACGUGCUGCUGCGUGCCGGAUCAUCGAUCACGAUUAGUCCUCAGGACCUGCCAGAAGUUCAUCGAUUUUCCAGCCACCCUAAAAUCGGCAGUUCAUGCGUUCAUCGAUGGGGGACCCUGCACCCUUCUCCGAAAACUCUAUCACGAUUAAAAAAAAAUUAAUGUUUCAAUGAUUUCAAGGUAACUCUAUCCAAAUUCAGUAACCUACUCACCGU